rnacentral:rRNA from 1 species
CAGCAGCCGCGGUAAUACCGGCGGCCCGAGUGGCGGUCACUAUUAUUGGGCCUAAAGCGUCCGUAGCCGGGCUGGUAAGGCCUCCGGGAAAUCUGGUCGCUUAACGAUCAGACUUCCGGAGGAUACUGCUGGCCUAGGGACCGGGAGAGGCCGAGGGGAUUCCCGGGGUAGGGGUGAAAUCCUGUAAUCCCGGGAGGACCACCUGUGGCGAAGGCGCUCGGCUGGAACGGGUCCGACGGUGAGGGACGAAGGCCAGGGGAGCGAACCGGAUUAGAUACCCGGGUAGUCCUGGCUGUAAACGAUGCGGACUAGGUGUCGGGCAAGCUAAGGGCUUGUCCGGUGCCGCAGGGAAGCCGUUAAGUCCGCCGCCUGGGGAGUACGGCCGCAAGGCUGAAACUUAAAGGAAUUGGCGGG